UGGAAUCGCUAGUAAUCGCGGAUCAGCACGCCGCGGUGAAUACGUUCCCGGGCCUUGUACACACCGCCCGCACACCAUGGAAGUCUGCAAUGCCCGAAGCCGGUGGCCUAACCACUUAUGUGGAAGGAGCCGUCUAAGGCAGGGCAGAUGACUGGGGUGAAGUCGUAACAAGGUAUC
rnacentral:rRNA from 1 species